rnacentral:rRNA from 1 species
UACGUAGGGUGCAAGCGUUGUCCGGAAUUAUUGGGCGUAAAGAGCUCGUAGGCGGUUCGUCGCGUCGGCUGUGAAAUCCCGAGGCUCAACCUCGGGUCUGCAGUCGAUACGGGCGGACUGGAGUUCGGCAGGGGAGACUGGAAUUCCUGGUGUAGCGGUGAAAUGCGUAGAUAUCUGGAGGAACACCGGUGGCGAAGGCGGCAUCCUGGACCGGUAUUGACGCUGAGGCGCGAAAGCCAGGGGAGCAAACGGG